AUGAGAUACAUAGUUGUUUUAUAUAAUUUAAUAAUGUAAAAAUGUAUGAACUUAUCUGAACUAAAAUGUAUAAAACUUAUUUGAACUAUGGACCUUUUGAUUAGCUAUUCAAUCUUUCAAAAUUUUGAUGCUACUAACUAACCUUUCAAUUUAUUUGAUUUGAGAGAGUCAACGGCAUAUUGACUUGAAAAUUUAAGCUAAUCACUUAAUUUAAUGAACUAUACUAAUUAAACCUGUAAAGAUAAAUAACGUAUUCAAAUUUAAAUUUUGAAUAAUGAAAAGCAGUUAAAU
rnacentral:lncRNA from 1 species